rfam:Triticum urartu cultivar G1812 contig49893, whole genome shotgun sequence.
GUCAUACUCUCUUUGUCCGAAAAAAGCUUGUCCCUCAAAUGAAUGUAUCUAGCAUCAAGUUAGUGCUAGAUACAUUCAUUUGAGGGACAAGCUUGAGACAAUCUUUUUCGGACGGAAGGAGUACAAA